AUGGCGCCUCCCAAAAGCCAGAGCCGAUCCGGGUGGCCGGACCUGCCGCCGGAUCUCCUCGGCGUCGUCCUCCACCGCCUCCCGUCCCUCGCCGACCGCGUCCGCCUCCGCGCCGUCUGCCGCGCGUGGCGCUCGAGCGCCAGGCAUCAGCCGCCGCCCCCCGUGCAGCUCCCCUGGAUCCUCUUCGGCGACGGCACCCUGCUGGACGCGGCCAACAACACGGCGCACCGCGUGCGCCUGCCGGACGCCGCCGCCGGCUGCUACAGCGCCGGCGAGAACAUGCUCUUCGUCAUGCACGACGACGGCCGGUGCUCCCUGAUGGACGCCUUCUCCGGCGCCAUGACCCCGCAGCCCGAGCUCGCCGCCCUCCUGCGGUACUACAAGGUCGACCCCCACGACGGGAAGUACAGGACGGGCGUCGAGAAGGUGGUGGUCUCCGCGCCCUCGGCGGCGCUCCCCGUGAUCGCCGUCCUCACCAGCGACUGCAGGGUCGUCGUCUCGACCCGCCGCCCGGGCUGCGAGGUCAACUCCUGCCUGGUGCUGAGCGAGUUCUCCAUCAUCGACAUCGCUCUGUUUCAAGGGAAGAUCUACGGCCUCUCCCACAACGAGGAGCUCCUCGGCUUCGAGCUCGGCAAUGGCCGCCUCCAGAAGCCGACCCCGGCAGGAGCCAGGCCCGACGUGGUAGGCGGCGUCCCGCUGAUAGAAGCCAGUCGGGCACACGACUCCCACGACAGUUCUCGUUACAUACGCUACAGGAUUCAGAAAAGAUUUCCCGACAGCGUGGCCCGGCUGUACCUCGUCGAGUCCGACGGCAGGCUGCUGAUGGUGAGGCGAUGGGUGAGAUGGGACGCGCUGGAGAGCAUGGCGAGGCGGUGCGUGAGAUCGGCCGCGGACGGGCCGGGUGGUUACAGGCGCAUGGAGCGGACGCAGCGGCUGGACGUGUUCGAGGCGGAGCUGGGAGACGGCAGGCCGCGCGUUGGCCGGUGGAAGAAGGUCGACGGCCUGGGUGGCCGGGCGAUCUUCGUGUGCGCACGGUGCUCCAAGUCUGUCCCCGCUGGUGACGGAGCUCGAGAAGAUUGUGUCUACUUCCUGCGACGCCAGUACCUUGGGAGGAAGCCCGGUGAUGGCUCGCUCGGGGACUCCGGCGUGUUCGACAUGAGACGUAAAACUAUCACGCCGUUGCUGCCGGAGUCAUCGGCGCCGGUGCCCCUGCCGUGGGAUAGCCCGCGGUUUCCGACGUGGUUCUUCCCCGUUGAAUAUUGA
rnacentral:rRNA from 1 species